CCCUUAGAUGUCCUGGGCCGCACGCGCGUUACACUGAUGCAUUCAACGAGCUUAUAACCUUGGCCGAGAGGCCUGGGCAAUCUUGUUAACGUGCAUCGUGAUAGGGAUAGAUUAUUGAAAUUAUUAAUCUUGAACGAGGAAUUCCUAGUAAACGCAGAUCAUCAAUCUGCAUUGAUUACGUCCCUGCCCUUUGUACACACCGCCCGUCGCACCUACCGAGUGGAUGGUCCGGUGAAGCCUCGGGAUUGUGGUUCUUGCCGCUUUAUUGUGGCGUGACCGCGAGAACUUGUCUAAACCUUAUCAUCUAGAGGAAGGUGAAGUCGUAACA
rnacentral:rRNA from 1 species